CCUACGGGAGGCUGCAGUGGGGAAUAUUGGACAAUGGGCGAAAGCCUGAUCCAGCCAUGCCGCGUGUGUGAAGAAGGCCUUCGGGUUGUAAAGCACUUUCAGUGGGGAAGAAAGCCUUGGGGCUAAUACCCUCGAGGAAGGACAUCACCCACAGAAGAAGCACCGGCUAACUCCGUGCCAGCAGCCGCGGUAAUACGGAGGGUGCGAGCGUUAAUCGGAAUUACUGGGCGUAAAGCGCGCGUAGGCGGUCUGAUAAGCCGGUUGUGAAAGCCCCGGGCUCAACCUGGGAACGGCAUCCGGAACUGUCAGGCUAGAGUGCAGGAGAGGAAGGUAGAAUUCCCGGUGUAGCGGUGAAAUGCGUAGAGAUCGGGAGGAAUACCAGUGGCGAAGGCGGCCUUCUGGACUGACACUGACGCUGAGGUGCGAAAGCGUGGGUAGCAAACAGGAUUAGAUACCGCAGUAGUC
rnacentral:rRNA from 1 species